GACGAACGCUGGCGGCGUGCCUAAUACAUGCAAGUAGAACGCACAGUUUAUACCGUAGCUUACUACACCAUAGACUGUGAGUUGCGAACGGGUGAGUAACGCGUAGGUAACCUGCCUGGUAGCGGGGGAUAACUAUUGGAAACGAUAGCUAAUACCGCAUAAUAUUAAUUAUUGCAUGAUAAUUAAUUGAAAGGUGCAAUUGCACCACUACCAGAUGGACCUGCGUUGUAUUAGCUAGUAGGUGAGGUAACGGCCCACCUAGGCGACGAUACAUAGCCGACCUGAGAGGGUGCUCGGCCACACUGGGACUGAGACACGGCCCAGACUCCUACGGGAGGCAGCAGUAGGGAAUCUUCGGCAAUGGACGAAAGUCUGACCGAGCAACGCCGCGUGAGUGAAGAAGGUUUUCGGAUCGUAAAGCUCUGUUGUAAGAGAAGAACGGGUGUGAGAGUGGAAAGUUCACACUGUGACGGUAUCUUACCAGAAAGGGACGGCUAACUACGUG
rnacentral:rRNA from 1 species